CAGAGUUCCGCAAACUUCUCAGCAUCACUUGAGUUCACUCUUCUAGAUAUUAAGUCAUCAUAUAUAUCAUAAACUGAAAACAAGCUGUUCAUAACACCUAUGAAGAGAAUUACAUAUCGAAGAAUGCGAACUGUUGUUAGUUCUUGCAGAACCCAUAUUGCAGCAAUAAAAAUGAUAAAUCCUAUGCAAAGUCCUCGCAGUGUCCAAUUUUUGGCAAUAAAGAGCACAAUGAGAAGAGCAGCAAUGAAACAACCAGCAGCAAUCUUUGCAGUGAGAAGAUUUGUCGAUGCAAGUAUGAGAACCAUCCCCCAAAAAGACGAACCAAGAUAUCCAGCAGGCAAG
rnacentral:misc_RNA from 1 species